UGACACAGAAAGACUUCUGAAAAGGAGCAUACACGUCUCUCCUCCUGUCUUAUUGGUAGGCUCUAUGGGUCAGAUCAGUCUCCAGCUGUGAGUAGUAGGGACAGACACUACCUGCCUCUCAACUUGGAAGCUUUUGAAAGCAAACCGCACAAUGAUAAUUAAAAUAUAUUAAUCAGAAAGUGAAUAAAGUUACUUUUGCCCAUAGCGAUCAAAAUUGUACUCUAAAUAGCAAAAUAAUACAGAAAAUUCCUCUAAGAAUAUCUGAGGUCCUUAGAAUGCACCUGAUUUUACGACCUUGUGAUGUACCUUUCUUCUUAAGUGUAACUCCAAAAUCCAGCUCCUCGUAAAAUUAAAUAUUAGGAAGCAAGGCUUAAAAACAAACAAAAAAAAUAAACAACAAUAAAGUGGAUGAUGGAAUGACCCAAACCAUCAAGAACCCUGACUCAAAUUACCCUUUCCUUCAACCUCUGCUGUAUCCCAUAUUCCUUGAUAUUGCUUAACUUUUGAGUUUAGUAAAUUUUUUGUACAAAACGAAGAAACAUGUCCCACAUAGGCUCAGUGGUUCUGUCUGGUCAGGGUGUUUUGUUUUCCACCACUGCUGACCUUAUCUAUGAUGGUAUGUAUAAUUAUAAUGGCUUUGGCAAACCAUUCAAUCAUAUUUUCUUUAUUUUAACCCUGAAGUUGUUGACAUUAUCCAACACAUGCAAAGAGUUUACCAUCUGUUAAAAAUAGUUCUUAAUACAUUUCAACUCUUUGUUUUUCCUUAGUAAUCUAAGAAGCAUUCUAAUACCUAAGAAUUAUUUGUAGAGUCAUAUGAAUAAUAAAAAUAUCUUAAAUAUAUUACAUUAAAGUAAAAGAUGAAGGUGGUGUUUUCUGUUGAUUUGUAUUAUAUUAUUUAUUAGAGGUACAGUGCCUGAAUUUUGUUGUUAACAUCUGAGAUAUUUGCUGUUUUGUUCAGAAAGAUAAACUUGGGAUAGAAAUAAAUUCAGAGGCGUGUAAAACAACAAAUGUAUAUUUAGCAAAUUGUCUAUAGGUUGGGUAAAUAAAUUACACAGAGGUUGUACGUCAUCACCAUUCAUGACUCCUGUUUGGGGGGCAGAGUUGUCAGUCACAAUCACCAGCAAACAAUUUUUGGUUAUUUAUUAAGAUACUUAGUCCAGUUCAUCGAACGUCAGACGUUAUACAUGACCGUUUCAAACAUAAAACACCAGAACAUGCUUAGGGAUAUUCCUGAAUGUUCACCAACAGAAAGCUAAAAUAAUGCUGGUCUAAUAGAACCAUGUUUGGUGACUUCAUUUGUUUAAUUACCAAAUGAAUAUCAAAAGGUGUGUAUGUUUUUGUUUCUGUGACUAAUAACUGAAAUUGACAGUUUAAAGUAGGAGGAUUUGGUCUCUCUCAUGCUUUCACAAUUUCAGGCCUUGUGUACUUGCUUACAUUAUUUUGGGGGCUUAUGAGGCAAGAUAUCAUAGAAACACCCUAGUGACACACUUUCUUUAGGUAAGCCCUAGGUACUUAAAUCCCUAAAUCCUCCCCACAUCGUACUAAGACUGGCCAUCAUACUUUCUACACAGUAUUCUGUGGGGCGU
rnacentral:lncRNA from 1 species